UACGAAGGGGGCUAGCGUUGUUCGGAAUUACUGGGCGUAAAGCGCACGUAGGCGGAUUGUUAAGUUAGGGGUGAAAUCCCGGGGCUCAACCCCGGAACUGCCUUUAAUACUGGCAAUCUCGAGUCCGAGAGAGGUGAGUGGAAUUCCGAGUGUAGAGGUGAAAUUCGUAGAUAUUCGGAGGAACACCAGUGGCGAAGGCGGCUCACUGGUCCAUUACUGACGCUGAGGUGCGAAAGCGUGGGGAGCAAACAGG
rnacentral:rRNA from 1 species